rnacentral:rRNA from 1 species
AAUGAACGCUGGCGGCAGGCUUAACACAUGCAAGUCGAACGGGUGGCGGACGGGUGAGUAAUGCUGGGGAAUGUGGCUUAUGGAGGGGGAUAACGGCGGGAAAAUGUCGCUAAUACUGCGUACCAUAGGAUGAGCUCACGUGGGAUUAGGUAGUUGGGGGGGUAAUGGCCUACCAAGCCGAAGCUCUCUAGCUGGUCUGAGAGGAUGACCAGCCACACAGGGACUGAGACACGGCCCGGACGCCUACGGGAGGCAGCAGUGGGGAAUAUUGCGCAAUGGAGGCAAGCUGACGGAGCCAUGCCGCGUGAAUGAAGAAGGCCUUCGGGUUGUAAAGUUCUUUCGGUGACGAAGCGUUAUUCAAAGAAGAAGCACCGGCUAACUCCGUGCCAGCCGCCGCGGUAAUAC